rnacentral:rRNA from 1 species
UACGUAGGGUGCGAGCGUUGUCCGGAAUUAUUGGGCGUAAAGAGCUCGUAGGCGGCGCGGUAAGUCGGGUGGGAAAUUUCGGAGCUUAACUCCGAAACUGCAUUCGAUACUGCCGUGCUUGAGGACUGGAGAGGAGACUGGAAUUUACGGUGUAGCAGUGAAAUGCGUAGAUAUCGUAAGGAAGACCAGUGGCGAAGGCGAAUCUCUGGACAGUUACUGACACUGAGGCACGAAGGCCAGGGGAGCAAACGGG